UACGGAGGAUGCAAGCGUUAUCCGGAAUGAUUGGGCGUAAAGCGUCCGCAGGUGGCAAUGUAAGUCUGCUGUCAAAGCGUCUGGCUCAACCAGAAAAAGGCAGUGGAAACUACAUAGCUAGAGUAAGGUAGGGGUAGAGGGAAUUCCUGGUGUAGCGGUGAAAUGCGUAGAGAUCAGGAAGAACACCGGUGGCGAAAGCGCUCUGCUGGACCUUAACUGACACUGAGGGACGAAAGCUAGGGGAGCGAAUGGG
rnacentral:rRNA from 1 species